UACGGAGGGGGCUAGCGUUGUUCGGAAUUACUGGGCGUAAAGCGCACGUAGGCGGAUUGGAAAGUUGGGGGUGAAAUCCCGGGGCUCAACCCCGGAACUGCCUCCAAAACUCCCAGUCUUGAGGUCGAGAGAGGUGAGUGGAAUUCCGAGUGUAGAGGUGAAAUUCGUAGAUAUUCGGAGGAACACCAGUGGCGAAGGCGGCUCACUGGCUCGAUACUGACGCUGAGGUGCGAAAGCGUGGGGAGCAAACAGG
rnacentral:rRNA from 1 species